AGGGGCCAAUGAGAACUUUGGGGCCAGCAAAGAAGAUCUGAGAUGGAGGCUGAGCACUAACCAUUGUGUCCAUGUUCUAUUUUGGCAGCAGGAGACACGGAAGGCAGGAAAGAAGAGAAGCAACAAUGACAAAAAAGAAACAUGAUCUCAGCUGCCCACUGAUCUCCUCUUGCAGGUGGAUGUGUAAAGGAAGUGAGAAACCAACGUGAAAAGAUGUCUUUCAGCUUCAAUAAUUGAGCAGUUUUCUACAACUACUAAUAUUCUGCAUUAAAAACUCAAACAGUCUUUUUGUCAGAAAGAGAACAGAAAUGUGACCUCUGAAUAGCACAACUUGUAGAGACCUCAGGAAUCGCACAGAUCCUUUCUCAUCCAGUGGAGAAAAAUCUGUGGGCUUCUGUACUUCAUUUCCAUUCAAAAAAGAUUACAAAUAAGGUAUAAAACUCAAGAGCUUUUCUAGAGGCAUGGAGAGAGGAUUAUGUAAGGUAGAGUAUCAAACACCAGCAGCUGCACUAAUUGUAAAAAUCAUGAAUCAUUUUAAUAGAAUUUCCUUCCAGUUUGAAUUGUUUCAUACACAUAUAAAUGUCAACUUUAGGAAAUGUUGAGACAAUGGAAAAUCAAUGCGUGACAACAACAACAACAAAAAGAUUUAUGUAGUUAUCAGAUAACUACAUGACUUUUUGUCAUGUUCUGUAGCCAGUGAGGUGGAAUUGGGAACAACACAGAUCUUGAAAGAAACCCCUUAUCCCUUCUGCUAAAGGAUGAAGUAUAAUUAACUAUACUAGCCUAAGUAUCUGGCUAAAAAUACAGGGUAAGGAAGUUUCAUUGAUCUAAUUCCUAACAAGUAGAAAUUUGGUAGCAUCUUUAUCUUAACAAAAAUGUUUAAUUUUGUUUGUAUUCUUUGCUUGCAUUUAUUGGUUAGUUUUAUUUAAUAUUGAAAAGGCUGUUAAAGGUGUUUUUUAGUCACACAGAUCAGAACCAGUUGCAAAGUACAUGUAAGGUGAUCUUGAAGUAACAAAGAUGCUAAGUUAGUAUAUCUGUGAAUAAGCAAUUUAAUAAUUUGUCUGUACCAGCCUCAGGCUCUCUCCCAAGUUGUGUGCUACCUCCUCUAAGGAGUUUGUUCUUUAUGCAAAAAUUAAAAAAUAUAAUACAAAUAAUAUUCCAUUCUGGUUCUUCUUAUCCUAAAAUAUUAUCUUACUCUUGAUCACUAACUUUCUCACUAAAGAUUUAAAGAAAUUGUAAUUAUUUUAAUUGCCACCUAAUCACCCUUCUAAUCCUUAACGCUCUUGCUUUUUUAAAAAGUUUCAAAUACAAUACGACUCUCUCAUUCCCACCCCCACUGUAAAAGCAAUUUUAUAAUCACACAGACCUGACCUGUGUGAUUUUUGCUCUUCCUCUUCAAGAGACUGUUUGGCCUUCACAAAUUUCCUUAAUUGUCUAAGUCUUGAUUUUCUCAUCUAUAAAUGGUCAUAAUAUCACUUUCUUAAAAUAGAGGUUAUUGAGCUAAGUAUACACAUAGUUAGUUAUGCAGUACAAUUUUGGCAAGGGUUGAGUGUUCAAUCCAAGUUAUUAUUUAAAUAAUUAUAAAUAGUAAUGUUAUUAUACAUACUGUUAAGUAACAAUAAGUUAGAUACAAUUGAAAGUGAUUCUGAACACACAAGCUUCUUUCCGCUGUUCCUCUUAAUUCUCCAGGGCUCUUCUAGACACUUUGAGGUUCACUUGAUUAUACCCUCCUGGAUUUGUUUGUGGCCUACUAAUGUUAACAUCAGUUCUCCUCAUUUACUAAGGCCUUGUGAGGUAAAUGGAAGCUUGCACCCGAAUUUCCUGCCCUAUUUGUUUAUCAAUAGGCCAUGCAGUGCUGCAGCUGGGACAAGGGGUGGAGAAAAAACAACCAUUGUCUCCUCCCCUCAGUUCCAGGUCUGUAAUUGGUCUGGAAUUUGCCAGUCAUCAAGGACCCGCCUAUGGAGUUUCUCCCAAAGGGGCCCAAGGGGAAAGCGGGUGGGCACCAUGGCCAUAGGGGAUGAUCAGAGCAAGCGCUGUCUAGAGAACCCAAGUGAGCUGUGAGCAAAAAUAAAACUUUUCUCUCAACCUGCCGUUUCCCUUGUCUUACUUUGGUUUCCCGGGAUUCACUGAAACUUGCCCUGAGUGGGAACCCCCUGGGGCUACAGCCUUUUCUACAAGACAUCUCUCCAAACUCUUUCCAGAAUCCCUAAAAUCUGCAGAAGGCACAAGCUAACCCAUUCUUAACCCUAGAUUCCUCUUUAAAAUAAUGUGCCAAGUAAUUGUUAGGGAGGAAGAAAUUUCCUCUAACCCUCAAGGUUUAUCCUGCUGGUCUAAGAAUCAAAUUGACACGAAACAGAUCAGCAGGAUGGAAACCAAAGUUUACUUAUGUACAGGGCAGCUGCAGACAUGAGUUCCCAAGACACUUGGGAAGAAUGAGAUCUAUAUGUCAUCCUGAAUCAAGAAGAAGGGGUAGAUGUCUGAGACUCCAAAGGAAAAGAGAAGUAAUUCGUAGGAAUAUGAAAAGAGUAAAUGUCUGGUAAACAAAAUACUUAAUGGGCCACACAAGUAAUGAUGGGGCACAGAGAGAAAUUUUAGCAGAUUUUGUCAUAUCCUUCCUAUCACCCCUAGUUUGCAUUAUGGCAUAGCUGUCUGUGGUGAUAGCUCUCCUCCUAGAGCAGUUCCUCCAUCUAAAUUCUUUUUAUGCAGUUUGGGGUGAGGGUGUCUAUGUUCCCGAGUCUUUUGGGCCUUGGUGGUUAUCAGUUCAGAAUAUUCCUCAUAUCAAAGUGGUACAUUUUGGGGCAGCCUGCCAUUGGUCCCUACAUAAUCAACCCCAAUCAACCUGAACAACUCAUCAGCAAGGCCUUACAUUAAAACAGAUUUUAUAUAUAUCUUAUACUACACUAUGAUGAUAUUCCCCAUUAGCCAAUUUUCUCAUCCAUUUCCUUCUCUUAAACAGGUUUGAACUUAUCUUGAUCUCUCCUUCUUCUCCUACCUGUAUAUCCUCCUUUACUCACUCCCUUCUCAUGGAUUAAUCCCCUUGACUCAUGAUGCUAAUAAUGUUUCUAGUAGAACAUUCUAUUUUCUCAUGUAUUUUCCAUUUAUUUCUUCUAUAUGUAUCUUGUUCAAAACCCACAACCUUAUUAUUUCCAGUUAAAAAAAAAUUAUGUUGUUUGAGUUUCUGUAAACCAGCUUUUCUUAAAUGUUUUUCAAACAUUUUAACCACUCUCAAAUAUUUCUCAAGCAACUUUACAGUAGAUUCGUGGUCUUGCUUGUCUUGUUGGUUUGCUUUAAACAUCAUUUUCAAUAUUUUGUUUGAGUUUUGAACACAGCUGGAAAACAUAUCUCUAGCCAACCUUUAUUUUUUAUUCAUUACAGGAGUCAAUUAAGCUUUGCACUACACUUCUACCCGAUUCAAACAUUCUUUGACCAGAUGAUCUUGUUAUCUACUAUGGAGAAGGAAUUGAAGCUAUCUGUCAUGAAUUCCCUUAACUACUUCCUCCACCAAUAAAUUUCCUCUCUCCUCUUUCCCUUCAGUUUAAGUGGAAUUGAUGUAUGUCUUCUAAACCACACUUAAUUGUUUUACCUCUGCUCUUGUCUGAGUGGGCCUAGCACCAUCAGCUCUCUUUAGUGGCAUCAACGUUUUUCUCCUGAAUCUUUGUCAUAAAUAUAUAAUAAUACUUAAGUCUUUGCUAUCUAAAAAACUAAGCUAACAAAACCAUCAAACUCUCUAUUGAGAGUUAAAUUCCAACAAUGAUGCAUCUGUCUUUUAACUUUACAAGUCAAGUUUCUUGAAAUAAUGCUUUAUGCUCACCAACUUUACUUUCUCACUUUUUGCAUAUCCAUCCAUCUGGCUUCAGCAUUUAUUUCACUCUGAAACUGCUCUUAUAUAGGCCAACAGGCCAGAUGGUACUGAAAACAUAUACUAUAAAGCUGGUAAUGCUGAGAAAAAUCUAACUGAGAUUUUUUACAUUUUUAAGAGAGGUGUUAAGACUAUCAGAAUCAAAAACAUUAUAAAAGAUCACUUUCUAUUUCAAAGGCAAUACUGGAAAAAUUCAAAGUUUCCAAUGUGGAUCAAUCUCAUGUAUUCAAUAUCUACUCCAUACUAUGUUUAGGAUUUUGGGUUUUUUAAUUUUUGUACAUCUGGCUGCAUGGUUGAAAAUUUGUUUACUUUAUCUUAUUUCAAUGAAAGACAGGUAGAGACAGAAUUAAAAUACAGCAUCAGUUAAAAUAAUUAUCAAAGUUAUACAUGGCCAUAAUUCCCCGAUCUGAAGUUUUAAGAGUGUUAUGAUAAAUGAUCUUGCAAUGCAAGGAGUGACGGUGAUUCUAGGAAAGCUAUGCCGAUCUCACUCCAAAGAGCACUUAAUUGAUGCAGAUCUGGCUUUGUUGAUGGGAUACAGACAUAUGUUUUUAUAAAACUCUUUUCAUAUGUAAAUUUGAAAAAUAUUUUAAGGCUACUUAUAAGUAUGUACACACUCAUAUAUUUCUAGGCAGAAUAAAUUGGUGCUGCAUUUCUUGAAGGAAAUUUUUCAAUAAAUAUCAAACAUCUCACUAAAUAGCUUUGGUUUUAAUAGAACAAUAAUAUUUUGGUAAGGUAUUUGUUUAUAAUAGUGAAAAUUGAAAACAGCCUAGAAUCCAUCUGUAGGUGGUGUCCUAAGUAAAUGUGCAUACAUAAAAUAGCAUAACUGGAGGCUAUUAAAAUACCAAUAUAUAUACUACUUAGAAAAUAUGUCACCUAAAGAUUUAAGUGACAUGUUGACAUGAAACAGUAUACAUCACAGGAUUCCAAUUUUGUAAAUCAUAUUUACAUUACACCUGAAUCUAUACUGAAAAAGGAGUCUGGAAGAAUUUAUAGUUAUUGAUCCUGCUUAAUUUUUGGUGGUGGAAUUAUGAAUAAUUUUUGCUUUUUGUGUAGCUAAGUAGUCUAAUUCUUAAAUAAAACACAAUAUAUUGAUAUAGGAAAAUUAUAGGAGACAAUACUAGAAUUGUUACUUCCUUUCAAUCUCCUGAUCAUACAUAAGCAAAUGACUGGAGAAAUUAAUCUAAUAAAGAGAUGGAUUCUACAUAGGACCAUGUCUCAGAGGAGAAUCUAUCAAACUAAUACAUUUCACAGGUGGUGAUACAUAAAUUAUGCUAGAAGCUACAACAGAUUUCCAGUCCAGAUGUGAUUCAAACAUUGUAAUUAGCAACAUGGCUUAAAAGUCAUUGGAUCAAUAUUUCCAGUAAUUAGGGCUGAUAUCUAUGUCUAUCUGUGUUGGAGUUACUCAAAGAAUGGACAUACCAUCCAAAUGGGGCCUUUCCAAGAUCUUCAAACUACUCUGUUAUGUGAGAAUUUCCCAGAGAUACAUAAAAGAAAUGACUUUCCCUGAAAUUGUGAGGCAACCAACAGGCUAAAUAACCACUAGGACAAGUCCAGUUUGGCGAACAAAUGAGUUUUAUUAAGGGGUCAUUUAACAAAGCUGUGGAUGGCAUUAGGUUGGCUACUGUACCGAAAUUGCCACCCCCCACCCAUUAGGUUGGAAUUUUUCAGGGAACAGUAAAGGGUGCUUGCAGGGUAAAUGAAUUUUUCACCCAGAAUUUCCUGCUUGCCUUUGUCCCUUUACAUACCAAUGGAUGUUUACCAUAGCACAGACUCCAGUGGAUCUGGGGCAAGGGUGGAGAGAAAACAGCCAUUCUCUUCUCCCUUCUGUUCCUGGUACCUAAUUGGUCUGGUGCCUGUCAGUCACUACAGACCCGCCCAUGGAGUUCCUGUGGGAAGGGGUGGGCAUGGGGAGCAGAUCUGUCUUGCCACAACCAAAGGGAACAGUUGGUGAGGAGCCUGGCUAGCCAACCCAAGCAAGCUGUACAAAACAGCCUUUCUCCCAGCCUGCCCUUUCCCUGACUUACUUCCCUGGAUUCACAGGGAACUUCUGGGAGGCGAACCCCCUUACUCCAGAGCUACAGUCCUACAUGCAGGAAAGCAUGUUCCUCCCUCUUGAGUUUCAGCAGACUUGGUAAACGUUCUUGCAGUCCUUGGGUCUCACACUAGCAUUAUGAGGG